rnacentral:rRNA from 1 species
UGGGGAAUUUUCCGCAAUGGGCGCAAGCCUGACGGAGCAAUACCGCGUGAGGGAGGAAGGCCUUUGGGUUGUAAACCUCUUUUCUUAAGGAAGAAGAUCUGACGGUACUUAAGGAAUCAGCAUCGGCUAACUCCGUGCCAGCAGCCGCGGUAAUACGGAGGAUGCAAGCGUUAUCCGGAAUUAUUGGGCGUAAAGCGUCCGUAGGCGGCUAGGUAAGUCUGCUGUCAAAGACCGCAGCUCAACUGCGGAGAGGCAGUGGAAACUGUCAAGCUAGAGUCUGGUAGGGGUAGAGGGAAUUCCCAGUGUAGCGGUGAAAUGCGUAGAGAUUGGGAAGAACACCAGUGGCGAAAGCGCUCUACUGGGCCAGAACUGACGCUGAGGGACGAAAGCUAGGGGAGCGAAAGGGAUUAGAUACCCCCGUAGUCC